UUAAUAGAAGCCAAAAAUUGAGGCUAUUCACUGUUAAUGAAUAAAUUGAUUAAAUCUUAUCCUAUUA
rnacentral:tRNA from 1 species